rnacentral:rRNA from 1 species
GAUGAACGCUGGCGGCGUGCCUAAUACAUGCAAGUCGAGCGGACGGACGAUAAGCUUGCUUUUCUGAUGUUAGCGGCGGACGGGUGAGUAACACGUGGAUAACCUACCUAUAAUACUGGGAGAACUUCGGGAAACCGGAGCUAAUACCGGAUAAUAUUUUCAACCGCAUGGUUCAAAAGUGAAAGACGGUCUUGCUGUCACUUAUAGAUGGAUCCGCGCUGCAUUAGCUAGUUGGUAAGGUAACGGCUUACCAAGGCAACGAUGCAUAGCCGACCUGAGAGGGUGAUCGGCCACACUGGAACUGAGACACGGUCCAGACUCCUACGGGAGGCAGCAGUAGGGAAUCUUCCGCAAUGGGCGCAAGCCUGACGGAGCAACGCCGCGUGAGUGAUGAAGGUCUUCGGAUCGUAAAACUCUGUUAUUAGGGAAGAACAUAUGUGUAAGUAACUGUGCACAUCCUGACGGUACCUAAUCAGAAAGCAACGGCUAACUACGUG